AGCUAGCGUUAUUCGGAAUUACUGGGCGUAAAGCGCACGUAGGCGGCUUUGUAAGUUAGAGGUGAAAGCCCGGGGCUCAACCCCGGAACUGCCUUUAAGACUGCAUCGCUUGAAUCCAGGAGAGGUGAGUGGAAUUCCGAGUGUAGAGGUGAAAUUCGUAGAUAUUAGGAAGAACACCAGUGGCGAAGGCGGCUCACUGGACUGGUAUUGACGCUGAGGUGCGAAAGCGUGGGGAGCAAACAGGAUUAGAUACCCUUGUAGUCC
rnacentral:rRNA from 1 species